CUACCUGCUGAACUUAAGCAUAUCAGUAAGCAGAGGAAAAGAAAACAACUGUGAUUCCCUUAGUAACUGCGAGUGAAGCGGGAUAAGCCCAUCGUUUAAUCUUCUUGGACCUAGUUCAAGACGAAAUGUAACGGUAUGGAUAGGUUCUCUACUAAGAAUGUCUAGUCAAAGUCCUCCGGAUUGAGGUGCCAUAGAGGGUGACAGCCCCGUAUGUGACUAGAUAAACUUAGGUAUGUGACCAAAUCCGAGAGUCGGGUUGUUUGGGACUGCAACCUAAAGUAGGUGGUAAACUCCACCCAAGGCUAAAUAUAGACACGAAACCGAUAGCGAACAAGUACUGUGAGGGAAAGUUGAAAAGAACUCUGAAAAGAGAGUUAAAAGUACGUGAAACCGCUAACGGGGAAGCGGAAGGCAGUGUCGAGAUUCUGUGAGUGAGAUGUUAUAUGUUUAUGGGUAUAUGUUGUUGUUGAUAAUGUGCCAAUAUACAUGUAUUAUCUAGCUUGGCAGAAUGCGUCAGAUCUAUUGGUAUUAACAUGAUUAAAUUAUUUGAUUGGCUUGUACGACGCCUAUAUACUUGUACUUGUACUUGUAUAUGGGUCCGUAUUUGUAAUAGAUAAUCCGUCAUGUGUACUAAUAUGUAUGUGAUGAAGCGUUAGUGAUUUAUUAUCGGUUGAGAGUUUGUAGUGCUGUGUAUUGAUUGCAGUGUAGUUAGUAUGGAGAAACUACAAAUUUUUCAACAACUAAUGCUAGUAUCUGACGAGAUACCUAACCUUCCGACC
rnacentral:rRNA from 1 species